rnacentral:rRNA from 1 species
ACAUGCUUCUGAAAGUCCCGAGAAACCGGGACCCUCUCACAAGGACAGAAGUUCAGGUGCUGCAUGGUUGUCGUCAGCUCGUGCCUUGAGGUGUUCCCUUAAGUGGGGUAACGAGCGCAACCCCCAUCCUGUGUUACAAGUGUCACAGGAAACUGCCCCGCUCUAAGUUCAGAAUUUAGAAUAUAGAAUUUAGAAUCUAGAAUUCGGUUGAUAUUUUUCUUCCGCAUUCUACUUUCUAUUUUCUACUUUCUCGAUUGCGGGCUUUGAGCGGGGAGGAAGGAGGGGAUGACGCCAAAUCAGCAUGGCCCUUUGACGCCCUGGGCUACACACGUGGUACAAUGGUUACUACAAUGGGUCGCCAAGUCGUAAGACGGAGCCAAUCCCAUCAAAGCCGAUCUCAGUUCGGAUUGAGGGCUGCAACUCGCCCUCAUGAAGUUGGAAUCGCUAGUAAUCGUGAAUCAGCACGUCACGGUGAAUAUGUUCCUAGGUCUUGUACUCACCGCCCGUCAAGUCAUGGAAGCUGGGGGUGCCAGAAGUCCCACAACAAAGUGGGCCCAAGGUAAAACCAGUGACUGGGACUAAGUCGUAACAAGGUAUCCGUAGGAGAACCUGCGGAUGGAUCACCUCCUUU